ACUUAUCAGGGAGACUCUAUCAUUUAUUCUUGUCAAAGGUUUCCUGAGGCAGCUUUUUGGAUCUCUUCACCCCCCCCCCUUCCCCUGCCCCCUUUCUUUUUUCCCCCAGAGUCUUACGUACCACCUGAGGCGGAGGACAAAUCACCUCAGAGAGCAUUUGGGUUCCUUCGUCCACUCCACUGGCAAGGGCAUGGCCCACGCAUCAACUUCAGGUAUUGUGGAGGAUUAAAUAUAAAUAUAUAUAUAGAGAGAGAGACUUCCGGGGAAGAUGGAGGAGUAGGAAGCUCUAAGACUCAGUCCUUCUACCAAACAACUAUUAAACAGGUAAGAGUUGUAUGAAACAACUAUUUUGAAACUCUAAAGGCCAAAAGAACACUGAACAGCAUUCUGGGAAGAGCAAGAGAAGAGGUUGAUAAGUUGCAGUAAAAGAAAAGUAAAUUACUCUCUCCAUGUGGUAGCAACAAGUGCCCAUGCUCUGACUCUUGCUGCAAGCCACUGCAGGGCCCAGUCCCUAGCUAGUGACUGGUGACAGAAAAGGACAUAAAAACCCUCUUCCCCAAGAACAGGGUGUGCACAGACAAUCACAGACCAUGGCUUCUGAUUAGCAAGUUCAAGUUCUGAGGGUUAGGUCCCCACUCUGAGGGCAG
rnacentral:lncRNA from 1 species